ensembl:lncRNA
AAAACAUUUCAAUCGAGCCAAAAUAAGACUUACUUUUUGCUGAUUUAUUUUUGAAUUUUCAAUUUGCUUAAAAUGUUCAAGAUUUACAUUUUCAUUUUUAACUGGGACUUUUUUUUUUAAUUGUGAAGUUGCCCACAAGCCAAAAAAUCCAUUUUUCACCCAGUUCUACUGUGAAGACUCCCAUUUACUUCAAUAGAAAUUGAAUCAUGGCCAAAAUCAAGCUCCCACUGCCAGGGCAGCAAAUCUCUUGGCUUUCUACUCUGGUUUUGCAAAGAGAUUGUCUGUCCGCUUCUCUGGAUACCAUCAGCACAUUUAAACACCUCCCACAUAUUUAAAACUAUAAAUAGCAACAGUAGUCUCUUUUCAGCCUGCAGGAGAGCUGCAUUAAAUUACUUGUAGCUCAGGGAAGUGUGAGUGGGCAAAGUGGGACACUGUACAAAUUGACUUUGCUUUCUUAUGAUAGUCUAAUAAAUUAGUUUAGCAUUCAGUGUGGAAAGUUUGGAAGAGACAUUUGCUAUUUUAAUAGAAGCAUGGAGCAAUGCGCUUUAUCUAACCCAGGCACAGCUCGGCCAGAGGUUUCACAGUGCAAGGAGUUGGAUCACAGAACAGGGACUUCAAAAGAGACCAACAGCUCUGUGCCAUCCAGAGGUGAAAGUGAGGCUCCACAGGAUGAGCUCACAAAUUUGAGUGGAACCAAGAUGGAACAACGGGUGAAAUAUGUGGAAGACAAACUCAGGGAAAUGAAUGCUCGAUUUGAAGGCGCAGAGAAACGACUAGAGGUUUUGCAAGAACGGCUCAGUCAGGAAGCAGCAAGUGAGACUGAUUGCUGUGGCUCCAGAUCACAGGAAGCCUCCAACAAUAGUCAGUGCUUCGCUCAGAACCCUGGAUUGGAGCCUGUCUUGGCCAAUGCAAUGAGAAGUCAUAAGUUCUCUGAGAACCUGAAUGACCCUUGUCAAGAAGCAGAUGUGCUGGAAAUGUACAAUGGGCUCAGGACACAUGAAUGGGAGAAAGCCAAAUGUGCUGCAAGUGGCUCUGCCUUCCCAAUGACAUAUGAAAAAGGUAGCACCAUAAUUAAGGCUGUGUUUUCCAUAUGUGAAGAAGAUCUGUCACAAAGACUGAUGCGAAUUUUUGAACUCCUUGAGAUUCCAGUUUCGAAGAAAACCACAAGCCUCUUUGACAGCCAACAGCUGCCCCCUGGGCUGGCAAGAGAGAUAAAGAAUCACCUUAAACAUCUCUAUUUUAACUAUGGAGAAGACUUUUACCAAGCCAAGAGUAGGCCUUCACUUCCUCCUGAUCUACAGAAGUUUCAGCCACUUGUACAUUUCACAGCAGAGUGCUACAAAAUUUACUGUUUGUUGCUUCUUCAGAACCCGCCCAUUAAAGCUGUGUGGCCCACAGAGGAAAGAAUUCCAAUCUCUUGCAUACAGCAUGUGGACAAUAAAAACGUGGAGGAUAGGAUGCUGUUAAACUUUCUGUGGCCCGUGCUGGCAUGUGGGAGACUAGUAUUUAAGAAAGCUGUAAUCUAUGAUUAAAUGGAAUGGCUGUUUGGAAUCUGAUUAUACCUCUGAGUUAUAAAACAAUUAAAAAAAUAGUGAAAGAGUAGCCUUGCAGUUUGCGUCUUUUUUUAUUCAGAAAAUGCUCAGGUUUUAGCUCUUGUAGCAUAUACUCCUGGAAGGGGAUGUGACAUAGAGACCACUGGUGCCUGCUGGCAAAGCGUUCACUGCUUUAUAGCAGCAAAUCCUAACAGGCUUGACAAGCUCACUAUACCUUGCACAUAGCUUUCAUAGUAGUUACCCAUAAAGAAUGCCAUGAGAGGUCUCAAAACCAUGGUCACGCUGGUCAUUAAUAGGGUUGUGAAAUGUAUGUACAGAUAUUAUGUGAGGGGUUAUAUGCCUGUACUAGAAAUAUGUUUAGAUUUGAUAUCAAGGUAUGAGUCACCAACCAAAGAGAAAGGCAGGUUUUCUUCCAAACAGGAGAUAAUAUGUGUCUCUCUCUGCCAAAAUGUAAAUUCAGAUUGUAAGUUAACGCAGUGGAAUCCCCAUCUACACAGGAAAUCAACAGAGCCAUGGGAAGUCAAUAGAGAAGAGCACACUGGAAAAAACAAGCAAUGGGGGAGUGAUAGCACCCCUGACUAGGGACAAUAAACUUUGGGAGAUAUAGGAAGAAGACA